ensembl:lncRNA
GAAGCAUACUACCUGUCAGGAGUUUCAAUCACAUCAGACUGGGCCUCUCUGUUUAUCUUGCAGCAUGCCUUGGCAUUUUUUUUUUUUACAAUUUUCUUUUUAUUCAACAAUGAGAACACCAAUACAACAAGUCAUCAACAACAUCGACAACCAGAAUUAAAAAUGAAAAAACAAAAAAGGGGGAAAAGAAAAGAAAAACCUGCUGUCAUGUCAAUUCUGUGUCCCUUGGCAUUUUAAAGCAACUCUAGUUUGCCUAGAGCAAACCUCCUUCCAUGGUAUCAUCAAUAAAUCCUAAAACUACCUCCAAGAGUCACUCUGACUAUGUUUCACUCCAGUCAAACCACUGAGUUCACCACUCAAGCAGAAGGACACAUCUUGCAACAAAUGAAGAUGGAUGUGAGAGACGAUGUCAAUUUGACUAGAAUGUCAUCUUUGUAAAUCUCCGACCAGUUCAAACCCUCUAAUCCUAGGUAGGCCAAAUAUUCUCCCGGUAAUCGGAUUCAGCUUGUAGGUAGAACACUUUUUUUGACUGUUCAGCAGUCCUUCAUCUGUCUUUGUUUGGGCAGCCCCUGUUCCACCCGGCAGCCUGCAUUCCAUAAAAUGUAGCACAGGUGGAUUGUGGGGAGGGAAAAAGAAUACUAAAUAAAUACUUUUUUUGAGCUUGUGAUGGAGAGAUGAUGUUCCCAACAGCCAGAACAAGUUUUGUAAUGUAGUGUGGCCUGCAGAAGGCCAGCUGGGGCUCUGAAAAGAACAGAGGAAAAAGAACAAACUUUACUAAGAUGCAUAAGGAUAUUUAUGAUGAUUGUUGCCGUGCUUGUUAAAUAAACGUUGUUUUAUUGCUUUCUCGAAUAUAUAUAAAAAAAUGUAAAAAAAUUUGGGCUAGUCUAAUUAAUAACGGACGACCAAAAUCACAAGAAUGCCUGCACAAAGGGCCACCAGGGCUUUUGAAAGUUUGUGAGCUGUACAUUAACGACUGUCUUCAUGCACACACAAGAACGAAUUCCCACUGUAAGAGGCAAAAACUCCUUUUGCUUUUACUGCGCCGAAUUCUUGCCGAGUCUAAUGUCCCGGGGGCCUGGCUGGAGGGAUGAGAAGGGUGGUGAUGGUGGUGCUGUACGAUGGGGGUUGGAGUAUAGGGGUGUGUGUGUGUAUCUGUGUGUCUGUGUGUGUGUGUGUGUGUAUUUGUGUGUGUGUGUCUGUGUGUGUGUGUGUGUAUUUGUGUGUGUGUCUGUGUGUGUAUUUGUGUGUGUGUGGGUGUGUGUUUGGGGAGGUUGCUGGACAACAGAGCGCUCAGUGAGGCUGAAACCAGAGCCGGUCAGCCCAGGCUGUCUCCGCCGGCGCAACAGGAGAGUGGGUCGGCAGGCACAGCGCUAAAGUCAACUUGGCUGCGGUGGAGCGCAAAUAUUUUCAAAGCGCGCUUCUACUCUGGGACUCUCCUGGCACGGGCUCACAGCAACUCGGACACGACCCACACAUCAACAACCGUACACAUAAACACACACACACACACACACACACACACAUCUAAGGUAUAUACACAGAACACACACAUUUAGCCUAGUACACAUAUAUCACACACACAAAGACUUACACAACACACACACACUCACAAGCAUACACAUAUGUAGAGCAUACGUACAGGACACAAACAUAUGGCACACACCAUGUAGAAAUCAACCUGGGCACACAAGAAAGUGGACCCAAGAAAGACACGUGUAGAAGAUACACAAACACCACAUGGCUAAUGCAUGGAGAGUGCUCACAUGUGCACCACAGGAACAUAAGACAUAUGUAGACACACACACACACACACACACACACACACACACACACACACACACACACACACACACACACACGCCUACUGCUCUCAUAGAGGAGGACUUACACACAGAGACAUGCAGAAGCAUACAUAUACACAGACACAGUCAAGUGCAAGCAUUUGUAAUAUGUACAGGUGCAAAAACACACACUCUUGACCAUAUAACUCCACAAAUCCAUACUCAUUCAUGGCUGCACUUAUGUAUUUAUCUCAAAAUCAAAUGAAAGCUUGCAUAACCCCUCCCCCCUCCUAUCUCUCUCUCUCUCACACACACACACACACACACACACACAACAUAGUUGAUCUAUGGAAUGUGGGAGCUCAUAUUCCCCAGAGACUGCUCUUUCUUUAAUCCCUUAAUUAAAACUGAUGAAGGAUUCAUAGUGGGCAGACAGCAUUCACAUUACAGCCUUCCUCGCGUACACACACCCACUCACACUCACGUACACGUACACACACAUUCACACACACACACGUACACGUACACACACACACACGACAACCCCUUUCAUGUGUGUUGCAGCACAUACCAAGGCCUAGUUAGCAUCACAUACUGAAGCACAUAGCUCCUUUAAUAUGCCUUCGGCUCAAAGCACCAGAUGAAAGGCAUGAAAAAUGAGCGGACAGACUGGAUAGGUGGUCGGCGUUUAUGACGGCGUGCACGUGCCUGGAUCCGUCUAUACAUCUCGGUCCCGGGUUGGCCGACUGAAGCGAGAGCGGGAGGCGGCUGCCCGCUGACGACGCCUCGCAGAUUUGUUUUCUCUCGUUCCACCUUUGGUACAGAUGUGAGGGGCUCCUCCCCGCAGUCCGCGAUUUCAUGUCCAAUGAUACGCGCUGUCACUCAGAUAUACGGCGGACAUGCGGUACUCAGACACCGGCCUGUAAAAAGGGAAAAUAUUUGAUUGGUAUGGCUAAUGCUAACGAUAUGUGCGCUGAACUCAGUUGAAGUUGAAAGCCUUCUUCAAACGCGUCGGCGAGAUGGCAGAUUUCUCUCAGGGACGGUUAGCCGGAGGAGCGGCUGGCUAAAGCACUGUACACUGUCAUAGAGCGCAUCAUGUUCGCAACUGAUGUCUUCUGUGAUCAAAGAGGGACUGACUGCAAGCCGGUGAAAAAGUUUUGAAUGCAAUGUGG